rnacentral:tRNA from 1 species
GGAGUUGUGGCUCAGUGGUAGAGCGCUUGCCUAGCAUGCAUGAGGCACUGGGUUUGAUUCUCAGCACCA